GCAACCACAUUAUGUUGAAACACCUGUUCCCAUACAAUCACCAAAGUUAAGCAAUGUCGAACCUGGUCAGUACCUAGAUGGGUGACUGUUUAGGAAUAUCAGGUGCUGUAAG